UACGUAGGGGGCAAGCGUUGUCCGGAAUCAUUGGGCGUAAAGAGCGUGUAGGCGGCCCGGUAAGUCCGCUGUGAAAGUCCAGGGCUCAACCCUGGAAUGCCGGUGGAAACUGUCGGGCUAGAGUCCGGAAGAGGCGAGUGGAAUUCCUGGUGUAGCGGUGAAAUGCGCAGAUAUCAGGAGGAACACCAAUGGCGAAGGCAGCUCGCUGGGACGGUACGACGCUGAGACGCGAAGCGUGGGGAGCAAACAGGAUUAGACUACCCCGAG
rnacentral:rRNA from 1 species